GCCUCGCUAGCUCAAUGGUAGAGCAUCAGGCUUUUAACCUGAGGGUUGUGGGUUCGAGCCCCACGCGAGGCG
rfam:Linderina pennispora strain ATCC 12442 DL89scaffold_1, whole genome shotgun sequence.